rnacentral:rRNA from 1 species
CCUACGGGUGGCAGCAGUGAGGAAUAUUGGUCAAUGGACGAGAGUCUGAACCAGCCAAGCAGCGUGAAGGAUGACGGUCCUAUGGGUUGUAAACUUCUUUUAUAUGGGAAUAAAACAUGGUAUGCAUACCCUCUUGUAUGUACCAUAUGAAUAAGGAUCGGCUAACUCCGUGCCAGCAGCCGCGGUAAUACGGAGGAUCCGAGCGUUAUCCGGAUUUAUUGGGUUUAAAGGGAGCGUAGGUGGAUUGUUAAGUCAGUUGUGAAAGUUUGGGGCUCAACCGUAAAAUGGCAGUUGAAACUGGCAGUCUCGAGUAGAGGAGAGGUAGGCGGAAUUCGUGGUGUAGCGGUGAAAUGCUUAGAUAUCACGAAGAACUCCGAUUGCGAAGGCAGCUCACUGG